UACGUGGGGGGCAAGCGUUGUCCGGAAUCAUUGGGCGUAAAGAGCGCGUAGGCGGUCCGGUAAGUCCGCUGUGAAAGUCAAGGGCUCAACCCUUGAAUGCCGGUGGAUACUGUCGGGCUAGAGUCCGGAAGAGGCGAGUGGAAUUCCUGGUGUAGCGGUGAAAUGCGCAGAUAUCAGGAGGAACACCAAUGGCGAAGGCAGCUCGCUGGGACGGUACUGACGCUGAGGCGCGAAAGCGUGGGGAGCAAACAGG
rnacentral:rRNA from 1 species